UCGUGAAGUGUAUACGUGAUUGCGAUCGCCGACCUGUGUCAUUUCAUUAUUUGCUGUUUUAAUUUUUGUUUACGACUUUACGUUAUGACUAUUGACUACCCACGACCUACCUAUGAUCUACAUCGAAAUAUCGAAAUCAUUUAUCCCCUUUGCUGUUCAAAUUCUCAUGGCUCUACUUCUAUAGUUCUCAAUUCUUUGCUCCAUAUCAGGCAUAUCGUUUUGCGUAAAUUAAUCGUUAUUAUACAUUUAUAUAUACGACUGUCGAAUAAAUGUCUGCAAGUUUCAGUGGUCGUCGAUCGUAGCAACCCAACAAGACCGACGCAGUAAUCACGAUAUUUGUUAUUAAUUUUUUUUUAGUUUAAAACUAUUUAAAAUGGGUAUAACCAAGCAAUACUUGCAUUAUGUUCCGUUGAUAAAUGUCAAAAUUGUUUGCCAUACCGACUGUAACAUAAUCUUUGUCACGCUAACCUGUAUUUCUGACAGAUAUGUUGCUGUAAGUGCUUGUGAAAAUGUCAUAAUUUGGGAUUGCGGUUAGAAAAAUUGGGCACGACAAUUAAAGAUGAAGACAUGAAAAAGAGAUUUCUGUAGUUAACCACUACUUCGGAAGGCAAACAUAUUGCUGUAGGUUAUUCUGACGAAUUAGUGAAUAUAUUUGAUUUGGCAACUGGCAAACUUAUUGGAACAUUUCAAGGUCACCGUUCAGUCAUUAGUGCACUAACUUCUGACACUUGUGGUCAUAUGCUUGCUUCAGAUUACAAAGAUACCAAAGCAGUAAUUUAGGAUGUCAUAGUAGAAAAAAGAUUACAUAAAUUAUCUGGUCAUAAAAUUGUAGUGACAGGAGUCCAAUUUAUAAAUAAACACAACCUCAUGGUGACAUCAUUAAAGGAUAUUUAAUAUUUAUAUUAGUUUUGGGAUUUAACAACUGGGCACUGUUUCAAGACAUUGGCAGGUCAUAUAACUAAAGUAAGAUUUAUUUAUGAGUAGGGUUUAGGGGACCUAUUCUCGAAUGAAUCGAAAAGGGUUUUCGAUCAAAAUUUGGUUGAAAGCGGAUAUAGUUACGAUCAAUUCAAAAGUCAAUAUUCUUAAACAGUUUUCGAUCAAAGUUUCAACUGUAAUAUUCGAUUUCUCGUUUCAACUUCUAUUUACCAAUCGUUAACUCGUUUUUGACUGAUAGUAUACCAGUUUACGUUGUGGUACUAUAAUGUUAACAAUAAUUUUAUAAUUUUGUUUGCGGUGUGGUAUUUUUACACUUUUACAGUAGUUACCUACAGUAUGUAAAAACCAUUUACCUGUACUAUUUACAACAUUAUUUACGUAUUUGUUAUUUGUUUUUAUUUUCAAAAUACUUACAGUGCUCGAUGUAGAGGGAAUACGAAGAGAUGACAUCCCUCUACUUUUUUAAACUUAUAUUUUUCAUCCCUCUACUUAUUUUGUCUAGAAUAAAGCAUCCCUCCUAAGAUUCGUUUUUUAAAAGAAGUACAUAUUAAUAUUUUUAUAUUUUUAAAAUUAUUUCAUUUAAAAUUUAAAUAAUAGUAUUGUACUGGGAUUAUAUUUUUAUCUAAAUGACAAAUUUUAUUUUUUAUGGUUAAAAUAAUUGCUUUAUUACAUUUCGGUUCAUCUUAUUAUGUUGUUUAAUAUAGGUCGUUUCACAUUUAUAUUAUCUAUAGCCUUGCUUAGAGCCAAUAAUAUAAUAUAAUUAAUAAAUAUAGGUAUUUUAAAUAAAGCCAAUGACCAAUUGGCGUUUAAAAUGUAAAAAUACAUGUUUUUACAAAUAAAAAUAAAAUAAAAUAUCACAGAACAAUAACGAAAUUUAUGAUAAUAAGUAGGGACAUAGCUAAAUUAUGCUAAAAUAUCUAAAUUUGAUUUCUAGCAAUGUUUUGUUAAUAACUGAUAAGUGGGUGUGUAUGAUAUAUCAUGUGUGAGUCGAUCAAUUGCUAAAUUUAUAAAAAAUAUUAAACAAAACGUGUACAAUAUUAUUAUGAAAUGAGGAAAUCUGAAUUUUUAGGCAUCCCACCACUUAUUUUGAGCCAUUUUGACCACCGAGUACUUAGGUAUCUAGUGUUUAAAAUUUCACAUUAUAUACCUAUUAGCUAUUGAUCAUACCUAAGGACGAUGUAGAUUUUAUUAUAAUGCAACAUAAUUUAAUACAAAAUAUGGUAUCUAUUAAAUAAUCUUCCAUUGGAUAACAAAGCUUGGCGAUUUGUGAUACCAGAGGAUACAUUUAAUGAUGUUAAAUAUGAAAUAGAGUUUAGUUUAUUUAAUGAUUGGGCAAUAAAUUAAGUAAUUAAUAAACCAAGUAAGUAGGCACUCCUUAAAUAUAGGUGGUACUUACUAAUGUCCUAUUAACAUUUGUCUUGUUUGGUUAUGUUUCAAUAAGGCCGUAUCUGUAAAUUCAAUUUUAAGCUAAAAAAUUGAUUAUUUUAGACUGAAAUAGUUAUUUUACUACUACAAAAUAUAACAUGAACAAAUUUCAGAGUGGUAAAGCCUUGUAUUUCAAAAUAUUUCCAUGCUCCUAAUAAUAAAUGUAAACUAUUGUUAUUAUUGUUAUUAAUAUUUCAGUUUUAUCUCAAAGACAGUUCAUGAGAACACAUCAACUUAGUAAAGUCCUUGAAGAACUAAUUCAUACUUUAACGCCUUUUAUGAAAAUCCACAACUCAUUAGUAGGAAUAAGUGCACAAAAAAAAGGUCUUUAGAUAUCUAUUAAGUUAUUAAAGUAUUUGAAUUACCCUACCUAUUAGCCAUUACCUAAUUAUGAAAUUAUAAUUUUAGGUAUUUACAGCUUUACGAUUUUAUGCUAGUGGAAGUUAUCAAUAAGACAUUGGUGAACAUAGAUGUUUAGUGCUUAGUCAAGUGUCUGUCAAUCAUUGAACUUCAGUAUAUGAUAACUGGAAUGCUCACUAAGUAGUAUUGCCCGAGGGAGAAUGUUAGAACGAGAUGGCAUAUACUAAUGGUGUUACUAUCUUUGUCUUACACAUGGCGCUAAUAUUUUAAUUUGAUAUUUUACCGCAAUAUUAUUUAAGUUUGGUUCUUAAAAUUUUGUACCUCAUUAUUUUUUUUUAACUUCCACAAAAUAUUUUUGAUUAAUUUAAUAAAAUAUAAAUAAUUAAAUGGUAAAUAAAUAGUUUAUUAGUUGAUAAUUAUAGUUUAUAAUAAUAUAACAAGUAUUGAAACAUUGCUUUUUUUGUCAUAUAAAUGUAAAGGAAGUUAAUGAAUGCAGGGAAUUGUAUGUUGAGAAUAAAUUAAGUUGUAAAUUUAAAGUUAGAAAGUUUUAGUUCAUAACUCAAGCAUAGGAAAUAACAACUUCAUUUUUAGUAAAAUAAUAUUUAUUUUAUAGAAUUAAUAAUAUUUAUAUGCUAUUUACCUGGAGCUGUAACUACUACUUACCUUAGAUUGUAUUUACUACUUUCCUAACUAAACUUAAUAUUGUAGAUUUAUAAUCUAGGAAAUAUUAAUACUGGAAAUAUUCAGUAAACAAAAACCUAACCUUUUUGUUAAAACCGAACCUGGGCCAUAGAUGUACGAUCAGCAGUAGUGUUAUAACAGUCCUAGGAAAGUGUAGUGUAAUUCUGUUCAGAACAUCGUUUAAUUGUACACAAAUCAUCUUUUCAUAUAAUAAAAUAUACAAAGUAUUUAUUUUCGAUAAA